GCCGACAUAGCUCAGCUGGUAGAGCAACUGACUUGUAAUCAGUAGGUCCCGAGUUCGACUCUUGGUGUCGGCA
rnacentral:tRNA from 2 species